rnacentral:snoRNA from 1 species
UGAAAUAAUGAUUGAGAAUUAACAUGCAGAGAUUUUACUCAUACACAGCUGAUUCA